rnacentral:tRNA from 1 species
GGUUAGCUCAGCUGGUCAGAGCUUGGUGCUAGUAACACCAAGGUCAUGAGUUCAAUUCCUAUAUUGGCCA